GGUUGAUCCUGCCAGAAGUCAUAUGUUUGUUUUUAAGAAUAAGCCAUGUAUGUUUAAGUAUUAGUUUUUAUAUGAUGAAACUGCGAAUAGCUUAUUAAAACAGUUAUAGUUUAUUUGAUAGAUUAUUAAAAUUAUUAUUAAAUGGAUAACAACAGUAAUUCUGAGGCUAAUACAUGAAUAAUUUUUUUAAUAAAAAGGUAUAUUUGAAAAUAAAAGAAGUAAUGUAUGUUUUAACAUAAGUAAAUGUUGAAUUAAUUUAAUUAAAUGAAUUAUAAAUAUAUUAAUGAAUCAAU
rnacentral:rRNA from 1 species